rnacentral:rRNA from 1 species
AUUGAACGCUGGCGGCAGGCCUAACACAUGCAAGUCGAGCGAGCGGCGGACAGGUGAGUAAUGUCUGGGAAAAUGCCUGAUGGAGGGGGGUAACUACUGGAAACGGUGGCUAAUACCGCAUACCAUCAGAUGUGCCCAGAUGGGAUUGGCUAGGAGGUGGGGUAACGGCUCACCUAGGCGACGAUCCCUACCUGGUCUGAGAGGAUGACCAGCCACACUGGACCUGAGCCACGGCCCAGCCUCCUACGGGAGGCAGCAGUGGGGAAUAUUGCACAAUGGGCGCAAGCCUGAUGCAGCCAUGCCGCGUGUGUGAAGAAGGCCUUCGGGUUGUAAAGCACUUUCAGCGGGGAGGCGUUACCCGCAGAAGAAGCACCGGCUAACUCCGUGCAAGCAGCCGCGGUAAUUC